rnacentral:sRNA from 1 species
GUCUCGCUCUGUCACCCAGGCUGGAAUGCAUUGGCACGAUCUCAGCUCCCUGCAACCUCCACCUCCCGGGUUCAAGCGAUUCUCCUGCCUCAGCCUCCUGAGUAGCUGGGAUUACAGGUGUUUCACCAUGUUGGCCAGGCCGGUCUCGAACUCCUGGCCUCAGGUGAUCUGCCCACCUCAGCCUCCCAAAGUGCUGGGAUUCCAGGCGUGAGCCACCACGCCCGGCCUGAUUUGUAAUUAUUCUACCUGCACUUAGCAUCAGCAGCAGGUGCUCCAGGCCGUAGAGCGUGCCAAGCAGGUCACCGUGGGGGAGCUGAACAGCCUCAUCGGGCAGCAGCUCCAGCCGCUGUCCCACCACGCACCCCCUGUACCCCUCACCCCCCGCCCAGCCGGGCUGGUGGGUGGCAGUGCUACGGGGCUGCUUGCCCUGUCUGGAGCCCUGGCCGCCCAGGCUCAGCUGGCCGCGGCUGUCAAGGAGGACCAUGCGGGCGUGGAGGCCGAGGGGUCCAGAGUGGAGAGAGCCCCGAGCAGGAGUGCAUCUCCCUCGCCCCCUGAGAGUCUCGUGGAGGAGGAGCGAC